UACGGGGGGGGCAAGCGUUGUUCGGAAUUACUGGGCGUAAAGGGCUCGUAGGCGGCCAACUAAGUCAGACGUGAAAUCCCUCGGCUUAACCGGGGAACUGCCCUCCAAACUGCUUGGCUUGAGUCCGGGAGAGGUGAGUGGAAUUCCCAGUGUAGCGGUGAAAUGCGUAGAUAUUGGGAGGAACACCAGUGGCGAAGGCGGCUCACUGGACCGGAACUGACGCUGAGGCGCGAAAGCGUGGGGAGCAAACGGG
rnacentral:rRNA from 1 species